CAACAAACAAAUAUUGGCUAGUGACCACACACACACCAACACAUCGUUAACUAAUAAGCAUCGAAUGCAAGUUUUGGGGUUUAAGCUGCGUGGAGUUUCUAAGGAGCUUUUAGUACUCAUUAGAACGCGUACUGUAACACGCGGAAGAAACACAAUACGUACGUACAGUUAAAAUGUCUGCGAUAAUUAUUAAAUUAAUUUGUCGUGUGUGAUAAUGCAUUCAUCUACCUGUGUGUCGAAUGCCAUUAAAAUGGUCAGUGAUAACACAAGUGUCAUAAAAAGCGCUACUCAGCAAAUAUAACGCAAAGUCAGCCACAUCUGCGCCAAAUUCCACAUUAAAAUAAUCAUUAAUACUUUGUAUACACUUGGUUUUCUGAUGUACAUAAAAUGCAUUCGGGAAUUUUUACAACAAAGAAGCUCCAUUAAAUGUUGUGUGCGAAAUAAGGCUUCUGGUGCCAAAACGUUCAGAAUGUUGAGAAAAGCCUUCGGUGAUAACUGUUUGUCGCGAGCAAGUGUUUUUGAUUGGUACAAAUUAUUCAAAGAGUGUCGGGAAUGCAUUGACGAUGAACCACGUCCAGUACGGCCAUCAACAUCAACUGAUAAUCAACACGUUAAAAAAAUAAAGGAAUAGGUGCUUGAUAAGCGACGUUUGCAUUUAGAGAUCCUACCGGCAUCGUUGGAGUAUCGGAAGGCUCAGUGAAAAACAUUUUGAAAGACCAUUUUGGAUUAAAUGUGAAAGCACGAUUAGUUCCAAAAUCACUAUUUUUUGGAAAAACAGCGUUUCGUUAACGUCUGUAACGUAAUGAAAAGUACUUGCGAUGAGUCUUGUGUCUAUGCCUACGACCAGGAAACUGACAAUCAAUGGGCCGAAUAUCGGGACAAAGCUGAGCCGAAGCCAAAAAAACCACGUGAAAGCGGGUCAAAAAUGAAGGCUUUGUCCUCAGUUUUCUUUGAUUAUCGAGUUGUGGAGCACUCCGUAUUCCUUCUGACCGGACAAACUGUAAACAAAGAGUACUAUUUGAGUAUUAUACGUCGUUUGUACGAAGCUGCUCGUAAACAAAGGGCGGAAUUAUGGGCCGAUAUAUCCUGGUUUUUCCACCAUGUUAAUGCACCGUCGAUUACUGUAUUGAUUAUUCGUGACUUUUUCUCCAAAUUUUCAAAAAAUAUCGUGUCGCAAUCACCAUAUUCGCCUGAUUUAGCUCCAUGUGACUUCUGGCUAUUCCACAAACUCAUUGACCGAUUCGAGAAGACCGUUUUGAGUCAAUUGAAAACACUAAGCGUGAAUCUCUACGCCCAUAGAGGUUAUUUCACUAAGUAGACUUUAACAACUGCUUUGAAGAUUGGAAAAAAAGCAAGCACAAGUAUAUUGGGACCAAGUUCGAUUACUUUGAAGGGAACGACAUCGAUUUUUAAAAAUAAGUGAUGGUUUCGGCUGAUUUUUGAUGAAUUCUCGCACAGUUUCGAUGGAAUUUCCGGUGAUCACGGAUUUUGAUUGGCCCACUUGUUGAUCGUCAUUUCUGUCCUCACGACCACUUUGAAAACGUUGAAACCAAUCGUGCACUCUGCUACGAGAUAGGCAAUCAUCGCCAUAAACUUGUUUCAUCAAUUGAAACGUUUCGGUGGAACUUAAUGUAAUGUACCUUUCUACCGGAUGAUGCUCUUGAACGGCAUCAAAGGAGGCACCGCUUACUAACCAAUGACUGAUUUCCAAGUGAUUGAUAGUUACGACACAAAGUAUCUUGGACGGGAAUUAAAACAAUAAAAUGACUGGGACCCAGCGAUGUUAUACAUAUAUACAUACAUUGACAUACGUCUGUUGAGACACGAUUCAAAACUGCCAUCGUUAUUACUUCAGUGUUAUAUGUAAGUGCAAAUAUGGCGCUCCGAACUGGA